AAUAACAUAAAUAAUAAUAAAGCAACUGUUUAUUAUCGAUAGUAGGAAUAUGUGUGUGUGUAUCUUGUUUUUACCAUGCAUUAUUUAUUUUUGUUCUGGGUCUUUUUUUUUCUACUAUAC
rnacentral:ribozyme from 14 species